rnacentral:misc_RNA from 1 species
AAGUCGUAACAAGGUUUCCGUAGGUGAACCUGCGGAAGGAUCAUUAUCACGUAUCCAAACGUAUAAACCAAUGUGCACCUCUAAUUCCUCCUCUGGAAAUGAAGUGGCAGAGAAGUUGAUAUUCUGAUUCAUGGUCUUUCAGAAUUCUCUGUCUUGAUCUAAAACUUUAUUGUUUUAGUUCAGCCUUCUACUCCGGGAGUCGUAUCAAACCAUGCUUGUUUUACUAAACAACUUGUACCUUUCUGAACUAACUUUGGUUGGAAAAAGAUGAUAUCUUCGGAUCUCGUUUUUUGAUAACCUUGAUUUAUAUAAACUCUGAACUACUCUUAACAACGGAUAUCUUGGUUCUC